UUCUAUUCCCAGUAAUUAUCCCUCUAUUCCCAGUGAAUGCAUCACACUGACAGUUAUUAUCCUUCUAUUCCCAGUAAUUAUCUCUCUAUUCCCAGUGAAUGCAUCACACUGACAGUUAUUAUCCUUCUAUUCCCAGUAAUUAUCUCUCUAUUCCCAGUGAAUGCAUCACACUGCCAGUUAUUAUCCUUCUAUUCCCAGUAAUUAUCUCUCUAUUCCCAGUGAAUGCAUCACACUGCCAGUUAUUAUCCUUCUAUUCCCAGUAAUUAUCCCUCUAUUCCCAGUGAAUGCACCACACUGACAGUUAUUAUCCUUCUAUUCCCAGUAAUUAUCUCUCUAUUCCCAGUGAAUGCACCACACUGACAGUUAUUAUCCUUCUAUUCCCAGUAAUUAUCCCUCUAUUCCCAGUGAAUGCACCACACUGACAGUUAUUAUCCUUCUAUUCCCAGUAAUUAUCCCUCUAUUCCCAGUGAAUGCACCACACUGACAGUUAUUAUCCUUCUAUUCCCAGUAAUUAUCUCUCUAUUCCCAGUGAAUGCACCACACUGACAGUUAUUAUCCUUCUAUUCCCAGUAAUCCGGUUCAGACCUGCUCUAUAUUGUAUAUCUAUAUUGUCUUAAAGUCUAGGGGUAUCCUGGACAUUACAGAAAUUGGGGGCUUGUCCGUUCUUCAAUAUGAAAAGUGACAUGAGGUAACUUCUGUUAUGAAUUUAACUGAAUCACCUUUAUCCAGAGAUUUCUCCAGCACCAUGCUGGUUGGUCGGCCGUACUCAAAGGUGAUGAUGAUGUCAUCAACCACCUCCAGACUCUUGUUCCAGGACAGGGUGAUGUUGGCCAAUAAGGGCUCAGGAUACCUGGACCAUGUGACGGUCUGCCAAUAGGUGAUGAGCCCCCCCCUCUCCCUAUCUCCCAUUAGCUGAGGAGGGUGAGACAGGUCGGGGCUGGACGCGUCACACUCAUCGCUGCACAGCAGAGCGGACUGACGUCUAACAGGAGAGUGUGAAGACCUCAUCCUGAACUACACUGCGCGGAAACUCCCCCAACAACAACCGUAAAGAUCUGAUGGUCACUUCACUGGAACAUGCAGAUUCUCUGUAAAUUAUCACAUACUUUGUUCUUUUCUUGUUUUCAAAACCAGUUGUUGGGAACUGGAGGAGGUGGUCUCACAGUUGGUUCCUUGCGGUACUUCAUUCAAAUGAUUAAAUUAAAAAUGUUCGGAGAGAAAGUGUGCUGACCUUUUCAGCCUGAGACGACCAGAAGCUUUAAUAUCUACAAACACGUGUUUCCCCGUGUGCGUUCAGGUGUGUGUGACUCACCAGUGUGCAGAACCUCUCAGGUGGAUUUCCACAGGUGAUGCCAGGGGGGUCGACUCUGAUCUGCAUCACCUCCUUCAUGUUGGCAGCGGGGGGCUGACAGGAGUAAAACUCCCACCCCGGCCCCGCCUCUGAGCCGCGCAGAGACCGACACACGUCAAACUGACCGCCGGUCUGACACCUGCCCAGCGACGGCAGGACGAGCAGGAGGGGGAGGAGGUGGGGCAGGAGGUGAGACAUGGUGGACUGACAGUCAGACAGACAGGAAGUUCCUCAGAAGGACACAUCUCAAAGUCAACUCCCACAUUUUUAAAUCCGCAGGUUCAGUUCUGCUCGACCGGCUUCAAACAGGUGGUUGUCAUGGUUAACAGGUGGUUAUCUUGUGGUUGCCAUGGUUGCUGGGUAAUACCUGAAGUUCAGUCAGACCUGUGGAAACAGUCCUGAAGAGGCUCCGCCCAUCGCUAACCUGCGGCAAAGCAGAAACGGCAAAACGAACUAAACUAAGAUCUGCUCCAGAGAGACCUGAGGAGAGCUGGACGUGAUUGGCUGAAUAGUUUCCUAAUUUAAAACCGUUGGGAGGACAUGAAGUCGUUCACCGUCAGUGUGACAUCAUCAGAUCUUUGAGUUCAGUCCAAACCAAAGAAGACUACAAAACCUUCAGCUAUCUACCCUGCGACCCACAGAGACCUGUCUGUCUCUCCGCCUGUCUGUCUUUGUGUGUCUCGGUGAGGAAGAUGAUUAAACUGAGACUCUGGCGCAUCUCUUCUUUAUUAAAACGUUUCUCUGCA